rnacentral:piRNA from 1 species
UGGCCACCGUCAUCUACAGAUGUACUC